UGAUGUUGAGAGAUAUUAAGGAAUAGUGAUUAUUGCUUCCCGUUAUAUUCAUAUUUGGAUGUGAGGUUAUGUUUGUGUGCUUUCAUUCUCUUUGUUUUGUUGCCAAGACGAUUAGUUUCUUGCUUCUUCUAGGGUAUAGCUUGCGUCCUUAUGUUGGGCUUUACCAUUUAUUAUCCUUUGUACUGCUGGAUUUGUAGAAAGAUAUUGUGUAAAUUUGGUUUUGUCAUGGAAUAUCUUGGUUUCUCCAUCUAUGUUAAUUGAGAGUUUUGCAGGAUACAGUAACCUGGGCUGGCAUUUGUGUUCUCUUAGGGUCUGUAUGACAUCAGUCCAGGAUCUUCUGGCCUUCAUAGUUUCUGGCGAGAAGUCUGGGGUGAUUCUGAUAGGUCUGCCUUUAUAUGUUACUUGACCUUUUUCCCUUACUGCUUUUAAUAUUCUUUCUUUAUUUUGUGCAUUUGGUGUUUUGACUAUUAUGUGACGGGAGGUGUUUCUUUUCUGGUCCAAUCUAUUUGGAGUUCUGUAGGCUUCUUGUAUGCCUAUGGGUAUUUCUUUUUUUAGGUUAGGGAAGUUUUCUUCUAUGAUUUUGUUGAAGAUAUUUACUGGUCCUUUGAGCUGGGAGUCUUCACUUUCUUCUAUACCUAUUAUCCUUAGGUUUGAUCUUCUCAUUUAGUCCUGGAUUUCCUGUAUGUUUUGGACCAGUAGCUUUUUCCGCUUUACAUUAUCUUUGACAGUUGAGUCAAUGAUUUCUAUGGAAUCUUCUGCUCCUGAGAUUCUCUCUUCCAUCUCUUGUAUUCUGUUGGUGAAACUUGUAUCUACAGCUCCUUGUCUCUUCUUUUGGUUUUCUAUAUCCAGGGUUGUUUCCAUGUGUUCUUUCUUGAUUUCUUCUAUUUCCAUUUUUAAUUCCUUCAACUGUUUGAUUGUUUUUUCCUGGAAUUCUUUCAGGGAUUUUUGUCAUUCUUUCAGGGAUUUUUUCGAUUCCUCUCUGUAGGCUUCUACUUGUUUAUUAAUGUUUUCCUGUGUUUCCCUAAGGGAGUUCUUCACGUCUUUCUUGAAGUCCUCCAGCAUCAUGAUCAAAUAUGAUUUUGAAACUAGAUCUUGCGUUUCUGGUGUGUUUGGACAUUCCAUGUUUGUUUUGGUGGGAGAAUUGGGCUCCGAUCAUGCCACGUAAUCUUGGUUUCUGUUGCUUGGGUUCCUGUGCUUUCCUCUCGCCAUCAGAUUAUCUCUAGUGUUACUUUGUUCUGCUAUUUCUGACAGUGGCUAGACUGUCCUAUAAGCCUGUGUGUCAGGAGUGCUGUAGACCUGUUUUACUGUUUUCUUUCAGCCAGUUAUGGGGACAGAGUGUUCUGCUUUCGUGCGUGUAGUUUUUCCUCUGUACAGGUCUUCAACUGUUCCUGUGGGCCUGUGUCUUGAGUUCACUUGCAGCAUACAAGUUGGUCUUACCUGUGGUCGCGAGGCUCAUGUUCGCUCGCGGGGUGCUGCCCACGGGCUCUCUGCAGUGGCAGCAACCAGGAAGACCUGUGCCGCCCCUUCCGGGAGCUUCAGUGCACCAGGGUUCCAAAUGGCCUUUGGUGUUUUCCUCUGGCGUCCGAGAUGUAUGUACAGAGAGCAGUCUCUUCUGGUUUCCCAGGCUUGUCUGCCUCUCUGAAGGUUUAGCUCUCCCUCCCACGGGAUUUGGGUGUAGAGAACUGUUUAUCCAGUCUGUUUCCUUCAGGGUCCGGCGGUUUCUCAGGCAUGGGUCCUGCCGCUCCUGGGCCCUCCCCCACAGGAGCCCAGAGGCCUUAUACAGUUUCCUCUUGGGCCAGGGAUGUGGCCAGGGGUGGGCUGUCUUGGUGGUCUCUUCUGCUCUGCAGCCUCAGGAGUGCCACCUGACCAGGCGGUGAGGUCUCUUUCCCCCCGGGGUCUGGGAGCAGAGAGCUGCUGCGGGCCCGCAUCUACAUUUUCUGUUGUGAUGGUUCUUUGGCAGCACUGGAAACUAGGAUUCCUUCUCAUUUUUCCUUUUACAUUUUCUAAGAUAUCAACAUAACCUAGUCACAGGAUCUUCAAAACUUGGUUCAACUCUUUACUCUCUGACAGCUACUUCUACUUCCCAAGCCGCCUUCAUUUUCUGCCUGUGAAACCAUGGCAAGAUCCUAUUUCCUACUACCACAUGCAGACCUGUUAUACCAUUGUCCAUCUAAUACCCAGACUAUUUCAGUAUAACUCCCAGAUCACAUCAUUCUCAUACUUAAAAUUCUCCAUUGGCUCUGCAUUUCUCUUGGCCUCCUUGCCAAGUUCUUGGUGAUUAUCUUGAGUUAGACCUAUCUUCCUCUGGUUUCAUUGUCUAUGGUUCUCUUUGCCUAGGUUUCUAUGCCUACCUUCCAUAAGGGAUGCUAACUGCACUCUUCCUGCAGACCUGUGCUGCUACUUUUGAAAGUGCUUUGCCCAUGGUACCUAUAGUGACUGGCUCCUUUUUCGAUCAUUCACAUCACAGCUCAGAUUUAGCUGGCACGUCAACUUAAUGAAAGUUGGUAGGCAUCCUAUAACUAGGACCCCUCUCUCACCUUCUGCUAAGUAUUUUAAAUUGGAGAUAUUUAUUUUAAUAGGGAAAACUGAAGGAGUCAUGUGAGAAAGUGUCCUUUGGCUAAUAUCUAGUCUUUGCUGAUGAAUUAUUUUCACAGCUUCUUUUAGGAUAGCAGUUGCAAAGGAAACAUAAUUUGUUCUCUGAGAAUUACAGCUUAUAUUUGACCACAAGCACUCAUCUAUUGCUGGCUUUUACUUAAGCUAUUUAAAAGGGGUCAAGCUGUGUACAGCAUAGAUGGAGAAACAAAAGACGAAUGAACUGUGGGCAGCUGCCUGAAGCUUCACAUUGACAUGUUUCCAGCAGAGAGCGCAGGCGACGCGUGCGCUCUGGGACGGGAAGCCAUCAGACUGUGGUACAUAAUUAGACAUGCAUUCUCAAGUUUGCCCCUCUGGUUCAAUAUUUUCAACUUGAACAUGUGUCUGGGGUGAUAGCACACCGUAGGGAGCAUUACAUGAAAAGAUGCUUCUGAGGAGAAGAGCAUGCAAGCUUAUUGAAGAAAAGGAUUCUAGUGGAAACCUCUUUCCCACCAUUUUCCACAGGGUACCAUCUGUUUAUUUCAGGGACCCUCCCCCCCCGAGCAACAUUGAUAGUUCCUUCCUGAACAUGUUGCUGCUGUAGGACAGAGGGACCAUUUAUACAGUUUUGUAGUUCUCUAAUUCUAUGUACUAGAAAAGUAACAUUUAAAACCAAAGCCAAAUACUUAGCAAGACAAGCAGCCAUGAGAGGUCCUGUCCCCACACUCAGUCCCUCCUUUUGGCUCUUAAACUGCAUGUUCAUAGCUCCUCUUUGUACCUGAGCUUCAUUCAAACACCCUAUGGAAGUCACUCUACCACCCAUUUCUACCUUCAAGAUCUAGAGUCCUGCCUUUCUCAUACAUCUCUGCUGUCUAGCAUUUUUAUCUGAUGCUUUUUUUUUUUUUUUUUGUAUUUUCAGUUUCAUUCCCUGGGUUGAUGUGUAAGGAUAUUUAUCGCUAGGAGGGCAUUCCCACUGAAGACUGUGGUACAGGAAUAGGCUCUGCCUAUUUUGGGUGUGCCCUCAAAUGCAGGAGUGGAUCUUGCGGGGGCAUCACUGAUCUCACUGCUGGUCACCACCGGGAAAUGCUUACUUCAUGGAGGCUAUUGUCACAGGGAUGCUAUUUUUUUCUGUUAAACAUACUUUCUGUAGUUUAAAUCUUGGAAGAGUUAACUUUGGAAGAUGGAGCAAUGGCUCAGUGAUUAACAGCAAUUGUUACACUUUCAGAGGACCCAAGUUCAGUUCUUAGCACCGACUAAUCAGGCCUGUAACUUCAACUUUAGGAGUUGACCUGAUAUACUCUUCUGGCCUCCCCUGACACAGGCAGGCAGACACACACACACACACACACACACACACACACACACACACACACACACACAUUAUAAAAUUAAAAACCUUUUAAAAAGAACUUUUUCCUGAGGACAAUAAAACUAGUAACACCAAGAAAUUAGCUUAGAAAUCUGUGUACCUGUUUAUUGUCACAUGAUACCGGAAUCUCUCCUUUUUGACACUUAAAUAAUUGUAUUUCUAUAACUUUUCAUAGUUUUUUUGGGGAUCAUAAAUGGAAAGUCUAAUUAAAGUUGAAGCUAAUACUCAGUUUAUGGGUUUGAUUUAAUAAGUAUGAAAUUAGCUUUAAUAUUCAGAUGGUCUUUUGAGAAAAACACAUUUGUUCAUUAAAUGUGGCGUCCCUAGUUCCCUUCCCUCUGUGGUUGUAUAAGAUCCAAAUGACAGGGUUGAUCCGAGAAGUUAUUAUGUUGUUUUAAAAGUCAUCAAAUGUUUUCACAACUGUAAUCUUAUUUAAAUACAGUCUCUGUUCUCAGAAAACUUACAUUGAAAAAAUAAAACUAUUAAUGCACCUUUCUUGGAGAACUAUUAAAUAGAGAUGUGGAUACAUUUAAAUGGAAUAAGAGAGAAAGGUCAGCAUAAAUGGAAUAAAUCUCAAUGACAUUCAGCCUGUCCACACUUCUGGUUGGCUUUGUAAUAAGUAUAUGAGCCUCCAUAUUAUUGGUAUUUUAUGUCACCUGUUUUCCCUUUGUAAGAAUGGCCAUGGCUAUUCAUGGGCUGUCUGAAUAUGGAACAUGUUGUGCCUACUCACCUUCGACUGCAUGAGUCAUUUAGACAACCAGAGAUAUACACUCACGGAAUGAGAUCACUCCCCCAGACACCAAAUAAUAAUGUCUGCCCUUAGGGACAAGCAGAGGAGCGGCUGCACCUGGACUCCUUGUGUUACACCCUGUGUCUCUUUACCUUUGCAGGCUUGCUUGGUUCUCCUCCAAAGAACCACCUAUAGUGCUUAUAAUCUCUUACAUUUUCUCUAUCAGUUUCUGGACUCCGAGGACGUGUUGCCUCGAGUAGGCACCAUACAUUUCUUAGGGAAGAUUUUGCAGCUGAAAACUAAGAGUUCAUUUAUGAGAUCGGUUUUUAAUAGUUUUCUUUCUCUUGCUCAGCCCUAGCCUGGACUUGUUUAUUAUACUGUGGUCACACAACUCAUAAUGGCUCCAGGGUUAGAAGGACUACAGAGCUCACUUAUGUGAUUCUGAGCAGGAAUUCUGUGUUACAGAACAAGACAUGCUAUGUGUUCAUUAAAAAUCUGAAGAAGCCAGCAUCUUAAGUGAAGAUUUAUUAUAUGUUUUCAAGAUCCUCAUUCCGUGAUCCUAAGGCUGGACACAGGGAGUAGAAUGCUAUGCCUGUGAACUUUGCUUAGCUUAUACCAUGUAGCGUGUUACUCGGAUUUUGGCCACUGUGACACACACUGGAGAUAAUCAGCUUAGAAGGAGAAAGAUUAUUGCAGGGUUAUAAGAUCAGCAAAAGAGAAGGAUGGAGGAAGAAGUCUAUGUGUUUUGCAUCAGCAAUUCAGGACUGUCAUCUGGAAAUGACCCCACUCAUGCUCACUGGUAGCAUGCCCUGUCUCCACAACAGGGAGCCAAGAAGUUCAGCUUUUUAAUUAUCCAGAAGAAAUGGACAAAUGGAUACCAGCCAUUAGCUCUAUCCAGAACCUCAGCCUGUGGGUGGAGCCAUCCAUGCAGUGCCUUAUUCUUCCCUCCUCUGUUAAGCCUCUCUGAAAGGACCUUCACAAACACACCCAGAAGUAUGCCUGUCAAUGCUUUGGGUAUUUAUUAAUCCAACCAAGUUGAAACUUGAAGGUAUCCAUCUCCCAAAGCAAGCAAUUUCAUCAACUAUAUCACCACUGUGUAAUGUGAGGAACCAACACCAGUGUCUGCCUCACUUAUAAGUCUGCCGUAUGCUGCUAAUAAAAUCAAACCCUUAAUCCCAUUGGCUCAGAG